rnacentral:misc_RNA from 1 species
GUUUAUAGAAUCCCAGAGGUUGAAAUAGGCCAGAGUACAGUAAAAACUUUGAUAUACAUAAAUGCAAGAUCUGGACGCAAUGAUCAAUGAGUCAAAAUUUCAUCUAGGAAAAAUUCAAGAUGUGAUGAGACAAUAAAAGUCUUGGAAAAGAAAAAAAUGAAAUGAGUACAUCUGAGACAAACACAAAAAUAAGUACGAACAUAAAUGAAAUGAAUCGCAAGAAGCAAUCAUACCUGGAGCUAUAUAUCCAUAAGAAC